GUGAGCAAGCUUAGGGGAUUAAACAAAACUCAUUUUCUCUCUCUUUACUCCUCAUUUUCGCCCCUCUCACCUCUCUCUCUCUUUCUCUCUCUCUUUUUUUCUCACACUACCACCACUGAUGAUCUCUACAAGCUCCUAAUACCUUUCUACACUAAAGAUCUCCACUAAAUUCAUGCCCUAAAUCUCUACAACCUUGAAUCUAGAGCUAGUUUUAAAGAAGUUUCAAGAUUUAAGUCAACGAAGAGUUUGCUCUUUUCAUUGAAAUUGUUGAGUAAGUGAUAAAUCCACUUAGAUCUAGAUCUAUUUGUGUUAUAUUUAUGUGUGUAUGGAUAGAUCAAGCAAGAAAAUAUUUCCUUUCUAAUUCUUGUAAUUUUUGAAAAAUUAGGGUCCUUUACCCUUCAAUUUUUUUUCUUUUCUUAAAUUGAGGUUAUUUAAAUGCUAUUGGGAUCCUAUUGAGUCUAUUUCCAUGUGUAGAGAAUGGAUUUAAAAAGAGAUAUGAGAAUUGAAAUAGUUUAGUUUGUGUAAAUUUAGGAAGUUUUGGAUUUGAGGCUUGAUUGAUGAAUUGAAUAUGGAUAUAUGUUAUUGAGGUUGCUAAGAUGAUAUUUGAUGGAUUGAAUUGAUGAUUGAGAUUGAUUAGUGAUUUUUGAUAUGAGUUAGUUUGAUGUAAUUUGGGUAAAAUUGAUUCUAUGGUUUAAUUUACUAAUUGAUUGUUUAUUCAUGCUAUUAAGUGAUUCAAUUUGAUAGAUCUAAGGUUUGAUUUAUGAUUUAUGCAUGUUUACAAAUUUUCAAAAAGUUUAGUUUGUUAAAAAUUGAGACUUUAUGAUCUAUGUGUUAAUUGAUUAAAUUGGCUAAUGUUAACUGUUAUUAAGCAUGAUAGGAAUGAUAAUUAGGGAUCAAUUUGGUUAAUUGUUGAGAAAACCUAAAAUUGGUUAAUUUUAGUUUACUAAUAAUUGGGAACUUUUGAUUAAUGAUAUAAAUACUUGAAUUGAUGAUGUUUAUGUGUUAAUUAGACUACUAGGAAGGAGAAAACAUGAUUAAAUUGUUUAUUAAUAAUGAGUUAUGAAAAUUUCCCAAGUUUAGUUUGCGUGCAUACUUGAGAUCUUGUAUAUAAGAUGAGUUAUGAGUUGAGCAUGUCUAUAUGUGGCUAAUUGAUGAUAAUUUGAGCUUAUAUAUGCGAUAUGAGACAAAAUGAAUCGUCCCCUAAAAACUUGUGUGUUGACCGAAUACAUGUCAACGAAGGGGAAGUCGAGUUUGAUUUUUCUUGAGUCGUAUGAUCAUGUAUUUAUGUUAUUGUGUAUUAUGUGAGCUUAAUUUGAAUUUUUGAGAAUUUUUCGACGAAGAAAUCUCGAGUUUAGUUUGUUAAAAAUGACAUAAAUUGGAAUUACUUUCUUAUGUUAAUUAUUUUUAGUAAAUUGAUUUAAGAAUGCGCUAUUAUAUGUCCUUAACUUUCUAAAUUGAAUUUUUGAGAAAUUUUUUCCAACUAAAUAUAUAUAUAUAUAUAUAUAUAUAUACAAAAAGUUUUUAAAGGUGUUUGCUAAGGUGCUAUUGAACUUGAUUAAUUAUUCUAUGAGCUAAUUUAGGAUUGAUGAUGCAUUGUGUGUACUUAUCUAUGUGCUUGUGUGUUGAGAUAGUCUAGUUCUAUAUGAGUGAUAAGUCGAGAGAAGGAUUGGUGUUUACAUAGGAAGACUAAUUGAUAUGAGAAUGUUAUAGUUGGAGUGAAAUGAUGAGAAGCGAUAGAAUAAUACUAAGAUAAGAGUAGUAUUGUUAGUGAGGAAGUCUUCUAACUUAUUUUAUCUUAUCUCAUGGACCAUUUAUGUCGUCUAUGAUAUCUGAAGAAACGAGUAGAGGACGAAAAUCAGUUACGUCAAGUAUCGUGGAAAGUAAGCUAAAGACUUCACGUGGGCAUUAUUUUGAUACCCUUAUUAUACAAGUUUACUAAAUGAUAUGAUACUUAUGAAUAUGAUUUAAGUUAACGUUAUGUUGAAACUAAUUGACUUGCCAAAUUUUAAUGAUAAGCUUGUAUGUUACCCUCUACUGUUGAGAUGAAUUCGGUCCUGCCACAAGCGGGAUUUUGUGCACAGAGGUGACUGUGAGCCGUCGAUCGGGUCGGCCGGUCAUGGUACUUGAGAGGGAGGCCUACUUCUCAGUACCUUUGAUGAUGAAUAGUGGAUAUGGUACAUGCAUGAUGAAUAGAAAUCGGAAGGGGAAAAACUAUGGUUUUUUCGAAUGGUAUGAUGAGCCAAUGUGUGAAAGAGCUAGAGAAGUUAUAAAUGAGUUGAAGAUUGAAAAUGUGAAGCUCCUAAACAUCCAUCAAAGUUCGCCCCCCCUCAUGGAUGUGAAAAAUGAAAUUGGUAAUCUUUGGAAUGUAAUCGAAGGUAGCUUGAAGGAAGAAACCUGGAGAGUUAGAAGGAAAAAUAGAAUUGUUGUGAUGGUUUUGAUAUUAUCUUGGCUGAUGAUAGGCUAUGUUAUUCAAGCGUGAAGAAAGUUGUAAUUUUGGCUUGUUAGUCUUUCAUUCAUUAAUUGUAUUUUGUUCUUUAAUCAAUGAAUGAAUGAAAAUGAGUUUGAUUCACAUA